rnacentral:lncRNA from 1 species
CCAGACACCAAAAAUACCAAAGAAGAACAUUAUAAAAAGCAGCCUUUGUACCAGCCAGCCACAUCAUUCAGCCCAGCCCAGGCUGGGGCUGGAGGGAAAAAUAACAACUCUCGCAGCCACUAAGUUCCUGCAUCCCAAGUGGGCACCUCAGGAGGUCAUGCCCUGAGUGAAUGUCUGCUAGAGGAGGGGGUUCCAGAGCCAUGGCGGGAGUCUGGCUGCCUUCCCAGCUGGCCUUUGGCAAACCACAGGAAGCUGCCUGAAGCGGCAUGUUUAUAAGGUGACUUGUGAGACUUCCUUAGAAUAGCAACAGGCCUGUUUCAUAACUUAAAAGCUGAAGAGUAUGUGUCUGUGGAGGUAUGAGGUGGAGCUGCAGGACCUUACUUUAGAGUCUGGGUAAUCUCACUAAGGCAGGUCGCUUUCCCACCCUCUGCUUAUCAAUUUAGGGGCUGAUCCUCACUCUGCGGAUGGGACUAUCUUAAACAGAGAAGUGUCACCUACCAGCCAGCCCAAAUCCCUGAGGCUUGAGUGCUACAGUGCUGAAGGGCUGGGACUGAUUCCCAAGACACUAAAUUGCCAAAACCAGGAAGUUGGGGUACUAGGAUUUCAUACCAGGCAAGUUUCCCAGUCUCUCACUCCAAUAACAUUUUUGCAUCUGGGCAGACAAGGGGGGAGAUUCCGCCACAAUAAUACCACAUGUGCAGGAUCCCUGGCAGCUGCGCAUGUGGUGGCAUAUCCCUUUCCCUCCCUUCCUGUUGAUAUAUGAUCUCCUUUAUAGACUCCUCAAGUGUCAGAGCUGAAAAGAUUUUAGAAGCCAUGUAGACCAAUUAUUUUAUUGAACAGGAAAGGAAACAGAGAACCAGAGAAAAAUGAUGGGCACAAGGACAUAUAGCUAGUUAGUAAUCGCUAGGAUUGAAGCCAGUUUUGUUUACAACCAGUCCAGGGAUUUUUCCACAACACCACGCCCUUUAUAACAAAUAACAUUCGUAUAUCAGGGGCUCCUACCCAUUCUAUAUUGUAU